GCCUGUAUAGCUCAGUCAGCAGAGCAUGAGAUUCUUAAUCUCAGGGUUGUGGGUUUGAGCCCCACGUUAGGCA